rnacentral:rRNA from 1 species
UACGAAGGGGGCUAGCGUUGCUCGGAAUCACUGGGCGUAAAGGGUGCGUAGGCGGGGCUUUAAGGCAGGGGUGAAAUCCUGGAGCUCAACUCCAGAACUGCCUUUGAUACUGAAGAUCUUGAGUUCGGGAGAGGUGAGUGGAACUGCGAGUGUAGAGGUGAAAUUCGUAGAUAUUCGCAAGAACACCAGUGGCGAAGGCGGCUCACUGGCCCGGUACUGACGCUGAGGUGCGAAAGCGUGGGGAGCAAACAGG